rnacentral:rRNA from 1 species
CACGUAGGGCGCAAGCGUUGUCCGGAAUUAUUGGGCGUAAAGAGCUCGUAGGUGGUUUGUUACGUCUGCUGUGAAAACCUAGGGCUUAACCCUGGGCUUGCAGUGGAUACGGGCAGACUAGAGGUAGGUAGGGGAGAAUGGAAUUCCUGGUGUAGCGGUGAAAUGCGCAGAUAUCAGGAGGACCACCGGUGGCGAAGGCGGCAUCCUGGACCGAGAUUGACGCUGAGGCGCGAAAGCUAGGGGAGCAAACGGG